AAAACUUAAACUAAAAUUAAAAUACUUGAUAUUUAGGGUUGAAUAUGUAACGUUAGUUUUUUUUUGUUAGUAACACGAGUAAUUCAAGAAGGUACAAUGUCAUCUUCUGGACUUCCUCCGGGCUUUCUGUGUAUAAGGGAAUUCAUAGAAAAGUUUGACAAGUUUGCUAUGAAAAAAAAUGGUAUGAGUCGAACAUAUUCUUCAAAGUCUACAUUUUUUACUGCACUGAAUGGCACAUUACCUCCACAACUCAAAAAACUUAUAGAAGUCUACGACACAUUCAUUUCGAAACGGAGUAAUAAAUAAUGAUGAUAGUUGAAAGAUGACUGAAAUUAUGCCAAAAUAUACAUGAAUUGCACAUUAUAUUGCGAGUUAUAAUAUUUACUCAUAAUUUAUAUACAUUUUCUUUUAAAACUUUUGAUCUGCAAAUUUUUGUGUUUAUUUCACAAAUUAGGUCUAUAGUUAAAAUAUUUUAAGUUU